GACGUAGGGCGCGAGCGUUGUCCGGAUUUAUUGGGCGUAAAGAGCUCGUAGGCUGCUCGUUGCGUCGGCUGUGAAAACCCGCAGCUCAACUGUGGGCUUGCAGCCGAUACGGGCGGGCUGGGAUUCGGUAGGGGAGACUGGAAUUCCUGGUGUAGCGGUGAAAUGCGCAGAUAUCAGGAGGAACACCGGUGGCGAAGGCGGGUCUCUGGGCCGAUAUCGACGCUGAGGAGCGAAAGCGUGGGGAGCGAACAGG
rnacentral:rRNA from 1 species